rnacentral:piRNA from 1 species
UGAAGGGGUAAGCGGAUAAGAGCAGCUGC